rnacentral:sRNA from 1 species
GAAGUGAUCCCCCGAAGAGACCUCCAGACUCUACCAUGAGUGUCUCCAGCUGAACUCAUCAUGUCUAAUCCUCACCCUAGCUUAUCCUGUUCAAAUCGUUUCCAUCUUUUUCUGGAUGAACCUGGGCGGAUGUCAGACCAGAGAAGAGCACAGAAUGUACCAGAGAGAGUGAGACUCCGUCUCCAAAAAAAAAAAAAAAAAAAAAAAAUAUAUAUAUAUAUAUAUAUAUAUAUAUAAGGUGAAGGCCAAGCAGGGUGGCACAUACCUGUUGUCUCACCUACUCAAAAGGCUGAGACCAGAGAAGGAUUGCUGGAAGUGAGUUCAAAGCCAGCCUAGAGAAUAUAUUGAGACUCUGUCUCUAAAUUUUAUAUAUAUAUGGUGAAUUCACCUUUACCAUAUCUUUUAUGUACAAGCAAUGGGAUUGAUUAGCAAGUAAUGGGACUCUGAAAUCAAAGGGGUAAAUUUGAGUAGAUCUUUAUAAAUAUAAUAACCUUGAACCCCA